GCCAGGUGCGGUGGUGGCGUGCACCUGUAGUCCCAGCUACUUGGGAAGCUGAGGCAGGAGAAUCGCUUGAGCCCAGGAGUUCGAGGCUGCAGUGAGCUAUGAUAGCACCACUGCACUCCAGCCUGGGCAACAGAGCAAGACCCUGUCUCAA
rnacentral:SRP_RNA from 1 species